UCCAGCUUUGUAGUCAAAAUAAAAGUUACUGAAAGGCAGAUAUAAUCUAACAAUGUUAUAAUGAAUUCUUCUGUUUAUAUAAACCUAUUCAGUUUUCACAGGUCCUAAAUAUAAAUAAGUGAUGAAAUAACUUCAAGAAUAUUAAUAAAAGAUUUUGCUGAAGGUCAAGGCUACCAGUUUUACCAAAGAAUUUCUUCCUGUGAACUUAGCCAUUGAGUCAGUACCCCCUGUUGCAUCAUGAAGAGCCAAGACAGAUCGAGCUGGCAUCAAUC